UACAGGGGGUGCAAACGUUGCUCGGAAUUAUUGGGCGUAAAGCGCACGUAGGCGGUCUGUUAUGUCGGAUGUGAAAGCCCUUGGCUCAACUGAGGAAGUGCAUCCGAAACUGGCAGGCUAGAGUACGUAAGAGGGUCGCGGAAUUCCCGGUGUAGAGGUGAAAAUUCGUAGAGAUUGGGAAGAACACCAGUGGCGAAGGCGGCUAUCUGGACGGUUUCUGACACUAAGACUCGAAAGCGUGGGGAGC
rnacentral:rRNA from 1 species